UACGUAGGGUGCAAGCGUUGUCCGGAAUUAUUGGGCGUAAAGAGCUCGUAGGCGGUUUGUCGCGUCUGCUGUGAAAACUCGGGGCUUAACCCCGGGCCUGCAGUGGGUACGGGCAGACUAGAGUGCGGUAGGGGAGACUGGAAUUCCUGGUGUAGCGGUGAAAUGCGCAGAUAUCAGGAGGAACACCGGUGGCGAAGGCGGGUCUCUGGGACGGUACUGACGCUGAGACGCGAAAGCGUGGGGAGCGAACAGG
rnacentral:rRNA from 1 species